GGGGAUGUAGCUCAGUGGUAGAGAGCAACAAUCUUGCAUGUGGAAGGCCCUGGGUUCCAUCCAAGCAUCACCA
rnacentral:tRNA from 1 species